UACGAAGGGGGCUAGCGUUGCUCGGAAUCACUGGGCGUAAAGCGCACGUAGGCGGUUUCUUAAGUCAGGGGUGAAAUCCUGGAGCUCAACUCCAGAACUGCCUUUGAUACUGGGAGACUUCGAGUCCGGGAGAGGUGAGUGGAACUGCGAGUGUAGAGGUGAAAUUCGUAGAUAUUCGCAAGAACACCAGUGGCGAAGGCGGCUCACUGGCCCGGUACUGACGCUGAGGUGCGAAAGCGUGGGGAGCAAA
rnacentral:rRNA from 1 species